CAAUACAUGCUGACGAGCGGCGAACGGGUGGGUAAUGCUUCGGAAUCUGCCUAACAGUGGGGAAUAACUAGCCGAAAGGUUAGCUAAUGCCGCAUACGACCUAUGGGUGAAAGCGGGGGACCGUAAGACCUCGCGCUGAUAGAUGAGCCGAAGUCGGAUUAGCUAGUUGGUAGGGUAACGGCCUACCAAGGCGACGAUCCGUAGCUGGUCUGAGAGGACGACCAGCCACACUGGGACUGAGACACGGCCCAGACUCCUACGGGAGGCAGCAGUAGGGAAUAUUGGACAAUGGGGGAAACCCUGAUCCAGCGACGCCGCGUGUGUGAAGAAGGCCUGCGGGUUGUAAAGCACUUUUAGUGGGGAGAAAAAGCUACGGACUAAUACUCUGUGGUCUUGAUUUAACCCAAAGAAAAAGCACCGGCUAACUCUGUGCCAGCAGCCGCGGUAAU
rnacentral:rRNA from 1 species